GUAUAGCUAAUUAAAACAAAUAAAAAAAUAAAAAAAGAUAUCUAAAUAUCUGGAUUGACAUUUGCCCAUUUGUUUUUCCUGCACAGUUUGGCAAGACUGUGACCAACAUGGGCUUUAGACGCAGAUGCACAGCUUUCAACCUUGGCCCUUGCAUUGGAUCUUUGGGCAAGGCAUCUAUCUCUUCAGUCACUCGAAGGACUCAUGAUAUGCAUCAUUCUGCACACCAGUCUUGCAGAAUGAUGCUAGCACCUUGGAAGAAGACCCCAAGACCCUGGGGGUAUCUCUGAAGAAGAGCGACAUCCUUCUAAUGGUCAUCUCUGGAGUCCAGAUGGCUAAGAGUGGGGCACUGGGUGGGGACACUGUGCAUGUAGGCAGUUCUGAGUGAAAAAGUGAUUCAGAGGAGUUGGAUUCUGAAUAUAUCCAAGUUUCAAGAAAUCCUUAAGCAAUGCCUCACUUACAUCUUCCUUUUUAUGCACGCAUGAGACUGAUAUUUGUAAAAGCCCCUCUCAACCAAUCUGAAAAGCCUUCAGUAAAUAGAAAACAUGCAUUCUAAAGUAA